UCCUUCGGAUUUGGUGGUGCUAAUUGCCAUUUAUUACUGAAGUCAAAUCCGAAAACAAAAGUUAAUGAAACAAAUAAUAAUUUACCUAAGCUUGUAGUUAUAUCUGGACGUACCGAAGAAGCAAUUAAAAUCAUGUUAGAUGACAUACAAAGUCGAUCAAUAGAUGUAGAAUAUAUAUCUGUCCUGCAUCGUAUUUAUAGUAGCAAUAUAGAAAAUCAUCCCUACAGAGGAUACAUAAUUGCUGGAUCUAAAGCAACUAAUAAUGCAAUAAAGAGAUGUAACUUAUAUAAGAAAAGACCGAUUUGCUUCAUAUUUUCUGGAAUUGGAUCUCAGUGUUUUAACAUGGGUGAUAAUCCGAAGGCGCCAAAUCAGGAGAAUAGAG